CCUACGUGCGACCGCAGUGAGGAAUAUUGGUCAAUGGGCGGGAGCCUGAACCAGCCAUGCCGCGUGAAGGCGAGUGCCCUACGGGCGUUAAACUUCUUUUGUUCGGGAGCAAUAAGGGCCACGCGUGGCCCGAUGAGAGUACCGCACGAAUACACAUCGGCGAACUCCGUUCAAGCAGCCGCGGUAAUACGGGGGAUGCGAGCGUUAUCCGGAUUUAUUGGGGUUAAGGGGUGCGUAGGCCGCGCUUCAGGUCAGCGGUGAAAUACCGGGGCGCAACCCCGGGGCUGCCGUUGAAACCGGAGCGCUAGAAUUCCGAUGCCGUCGGAGGAAUGUGUGGUGUAGCGGUGAAAUGCAUAGAUAUCACACAGAACACCGAUGGCGAAGGCAUCUGACGAAUCGGAGAUUGACGCUGAUGCACGAAAGCGUGGGUAUCGAACAGGAUUAGAUACCCUGGUAGUC
rnacentral:rRNA from 1 species